AGCAGCCGCGGUAAUUCCAGCUCCAAUAGCGUAUAUUAAAGUUGUUGCAGUUAAAAAGCUCGUAGUUGAAUUUCGGGAUCAAUUUAUUGGUCGUGCUAUUGUACGUACUGGUAUUAUUGAUUUCUACCUUCUGACGAACCAUGAUGUCAUUAAUUUGGUGUCUUGGGGAAUCAGGACUGUUACUUUGAAAAAAUUAGAGUGUUUAAAGCAGGCUCACGCUUGAAUACAUUAGCAUGGAAUAACGAAAUAGGACGUUUGAUUCUAUUUUGUUGGUUUCUAGGAUCGACGUAAUGAUUAAUAGGGAUAGUUGGGGGCAUUAGUAUUCAAUUGUCAGAGGUGAAAUUCUUGGAUUUAUUGAAGACUAACUACUGCGAAAGCAUUUGCCAAGGAUGUUUUCAUUAAUCAAGAACGAAAGUUAGGGGAUCGAAGACGAUCAGAUACCGUCGUAGUCUUAACCAUAAACUAUGCCGACUAGGGAUCGGAUGAUGUUAAUUUUUAAUGUACUCAUUCAGCGUACCG
rnacentral:rRNA from 1 species